rnacentral:sRNA from 1 species
UUUAGGAGAGAUCCAAUACAACUUUCAUUGGUUAAAAGUUAAGCGGUAAAUUCGUACAAAUAUAACGUGGAAGAAAAGUGGACCACAACAAAGUGCAUGCUAAGAGGGCAUUGAGUGCGUGUAUCACUUGAAAAAAUAAUAAUCAUAAAUCUCUGUGUUCCCCAAAAUAUGAUAUAACAAUUACAAUAUGCGCACGACAGGAAUUAAAGGAUUCAGAGUUGUCAUCAUAUUAACAGAUAAUGCGAUAUGUUCCACAAUAAACAGAACAAGAAGUUGUUCCAUAUCUUUCGAGUUAAAGUUGUUUAUAUAUAGAUAGUUUUGAUAGAUUCUUUAAGAUAUGACUUUGUAAUCUAAUUAAAUACUUGAAAAUCGUAACUCAUGAAUAUACAGAAAGCUCUUUUUGUCCAUUGAGAUCUCUAAAUCUUUCACAUCAUGCAUUGAGGAAUCAGAAAGUGCUUUAACCUCAACCUUCUUUUCUCUCAGCCUUCUUAACCACUCGAGCUUUGCUCUCCUUGUCAUAUGUUUUGUGAUCAAGGGAUUAAUUUGAUAAAAUUCUUCAUAUAUAUCUCAGUCCAUACCUCCUUGAAUUCAGCAAGGCAUGUACUCCAUUCUUCUUGCUUCUUCUUCAUCAUUGUAGGCAAUGCACGACCAUGAUCCUUUUUUUUGUUUUGCUAAAUCAAGACUAGGAUCCUUCUUAAUAAUUUCAGUGACUUCCUUCCCAUAAUCACCAUACAAUGCAUCAAUGAAUCUCAUGUUUUGACCUUUCUCAACUAAUUAAUAAUUUUAAAUAAUAUGAAA